UACGUAGGGUGCAAGCGUUGUCCGGAAUUAUUGGGCGUAAAGAGCUCGUAGGCGGUCUGUCGCGUCGGAUGUGUAAACCCAGGGCUCAACCCUGGGCCUGCAUUCGAUACGGGCAGACUAGAGUUCGGUAGGGGAGACUGGAAUUCCUGGUGUAGCGGUGAAAUGCGCAGAUAUCAGGAGGAACACCGGUGGCGAAGGCGGGUCUCUGGGCCGAAACUGACGCUGAGGAGCGAAAGCGUGGGGAGCAAACAGG
rnacentral:rRNA from 1 species